AAAGCCAGUUCAUGCUUUUAUAGUAUGAAAAUUGGUGAUUUAUAAUAACUUAGCAAAUCGCAAAGUGAAAACAGGCGAUAAAUCAUUCAAGUUUCUGACCUAUCAGCUUUCGACGGUAUGGUAUUGGCUUACCGUGGCAGUGACGGUUAACGGGGGAUUAGGGUUCGAUUCCGGAGAGGGAGCCUGAGAAACGGCUACCACAUCUAAGGAAGGCAGCAGGCGCGCAAAUUACCCAAUUCUAACAGUUUGAGAGAGGUAGUAACAAGAAAUAACAAUACAAGGCAGUUAAAAUGCUUUGUAAUUGGAAUGAUAGAAAUUUAAACCCUUUUUAAAGUAUCAAUUGGAGGGCAAGUCUGGUGCCAGCAGCCGCGGUAAUUCCAGCUCCAAUAGCGUAUAUUAAAAUUGUUGCAGUUAAAAAGCUCGUAGUUGAAGUUCUGCUGAAAGUAACCGGUCUGCUUUUAAUAAAAGUGGUAUCUUGGUAUGUAUUUAGCAAUGAUGUCCUUUGAAGUGUUUUUUACUUUAUUGUAAUAAAGCAUAUUCAGGACUUUUACUUUGAGAAAAUUAGAGUGUUUCUAGCAGGCUAACGCUUUGAAUACUGCAGCAUGGAAUAAUAAG
rnacentral:rRNA from 1 species